AGAGUUUGAUCCUGGCUCAGAUUGAACGCUGGCGGCAGGCCUAACACAUGCAAGUCGAGCGGUAGAGAGGUGCUUGCACCUCUUGAGAGCGGCGGACGGGUGAGUAAUACCUAGGAAUCUGCCUGGUAGUGGGGGAUAACGUUCGGAAACGGACGCUAAUACCGCAUACGUCCUACGGGAGAAAGCAGGGGACCUUCGGGCCUUGCGCUAUCAGAUGAGCCUAGGUCGGAUUAGCUAGUUGGUGAGGUAAUGGCUCACCAAGGCUACGAUCCGUAACUGGUCUGAGAGGAUGAUCAGUCACACUGGAACUGAGACACGGUCCAGACUCCUACGGGAGGCAGCAGUGGGGAAUAUUGGACAAUGGGCGAAAGCCUGAUCCAGCCAUGCCGCGUGUGUGAAGAAGGUCUUCGGAUUGUAAAGCACUUUAAGUUGGGAGGAAGGGCAUUAACCUAAUACGUUAGUGUCUUGACGUUACCGACAGAAUAAGCACCGGCUAACUCUGUGCCAGCAGCCGCGGUAAUACAGAGGGUGCAAGCGUUAAUCGGAAUUACUGGGCGUAAAGCGCGCGUAGGUGGUUUGUUAAGUUGAAUGUGAAAUCCCCGGGCUCAACCUGGGAACUGCAUCCAAACUGGCAAGCUAGAGUAUGGUAGAGGGUAGUGGAAUUUCCUGUGUAGCGGUGAAAUGCGUAGAUAUAGGAAGGGAACACCAGUGGCGAAGGCGACUACCUGGGACUGAUACUGACACUGAGGUGCGAAGCGUGGGGAGCAACAGGAUUAGAUACCUGGUAGUCCACGCCGUAAACGAUGUUCACUAGCCGUUGGA
rnacentral:rRNA from 1 species